GGCUCGGUGGCAGAGUGGUGAUGCAGCGGAUUGCAAAUCCGUGUACACGUGUUCGAUUCACGUACACGCCUCCA
rnacentral:tRNA from 2 species